rnacentral:rRNA from 1 species
GUUUGAUCAUGGCUCAGAUUGAACGUUGGCGGCAGGCUUAACACAUGCAAGACGAACGAGAAAGUACCCUCGGGUGCGAGUAAAGUGGCGGACGGGUGAGUAACGCGUAGGAAUCUACCCAAUAGCGGGGGACAACUCGGGGAAACUCGAGCUAAUACCGCAUACGCUCUCUUCGCAAGAAGGGAGGAAAGGGGCCCUCUCCUUGGAAGGUCUCACUAUUGGAGGAGCCUGCGUUGGAUUAGCUUGUUGGUGAGGUAAAGGCUCACCAAGGCUACGAUCCAUAGCUGGUCUGAGAGGACGAUCAGCCACACUGGAACUGAGACACGGUCCAGACUCCUACGGGAGGCAGCAGUGGGGAAUCUUGGGCAAUGGGCGCAAGCCUGACCCAGCCAUGCCGCGUGUGUGAAGAAGGCCUUCGGGUUGUAAAGCACUUUCAGUAGUGAAGAAAAGUUUCGGGUUAAUACCCCGGAACCUUGACGUUAGCUACAGAAGAAGCACCGGCUAACUCCGUGCCAGCAGCCGCGGUAAUACGGAGGGUGCGAACGUUAAUCGGAAUUACUGGGCGUAAAGCGCGCGUAGGCGGUUUGAUAAGCGGGAUGUGAAAGCCCUGGGCUCAACCUGGGAACUGCAUUCCAAACUGUCAGACUAGAGUUUGGUAGAGGGAGGUGGAAUUUCCUGUGUAGCGGUGAAAUGCGUAGAUAUAGGAAGGAACACCAGUGGCGAAGGCGGCCUCCUGGACCAAAACUGACGCAGAGGUGCGAAAGCGUGGGGAGCAAACAGGAUUAGAUACCCUGGUAGUCCACGCCGUAAACGAUGAGAACUAGCCGUUGGGGCCCUUGAGGCUUUGGUGGCGCAGCUAACGCGAUAAGUUCUCCGCCUGGGGAGUACGGCCGCAAGGUUAAAACUCAAAUGAAUUGACGGGGGCCCGCACAAGCGGUGGAGCAUGUUGUUUAAUUCGAUGCGACGCGAAGAACCUUACCACCCCUUGACAUACUCGGAACUUUCCAGAGAUGGAUUGGUGCCUUCGGGAACCGAGAUACAGGUGCUGCAUGGCUGUCGUCAGCUCGUGUCGUGAGACGUUGGGUUAAGUCCCGUAACGAGCGCAACCCUUGUCCUUACUUGCCAGCGGGUCAUGCCGGGAACUUUAAGGAGACCGCCGGUGACAAACCGGAGGAAGGUGGGGACGACGUCAAGUCAUCAUGGCCCUUACGGGGUGGGCUACAAACGUGCUACAAUGGGAGGUACAAAGGGCUGCAAACCAGCGAUGGUGAGCGAAUCCCAAAAAACCUCUCGUAGUCCGGAUAGGAGUCUGCAACUCGACUCCUUGAAGUCGGAAUCGCUAGUAAUCGCGAAUCAGAAUGUCGCGGUGAAUACGUUCCCGGGCCUUGUACACACCGCCCGUCACGUCAUGGGAGUGGGUUGCACCAGAAGUAGCUAGUCUAACCUUCGGGAGGGCGGUUACCACGGUGUGGCUCAUGACUGGGACGAAGUCGUAACAAGGUA